rnacentral:rRNA from 1 species
UACGUAGGGUGCAAGCGUUGUCCGGAUUCAUUGGGCGUAAAGAGCGUGUAGGCGGCCAGGUAGGUCGGUUGUGAAAACUGGAGGCUCAACCUUCAGAGGUCGACCGAAACCAUCUGGCUAGAGUCCGGGAGAGGAGAGUGGAAUUCCUGGUGUAGCGGUGAAAUGCGCAGAUAUCAGGAAGAACACCCGUGGCGAAAGCGGCUCUCUGGAACGGUACUGACGAUGAGACGCGAAAGCGUGGGGAGCGAGCAGG